rnacentral:rRNA from 1 species
CCUACGGGAGGCAGCAGUGAGGAAUAUUGGUCAAUGGGCGGGAGCCUGAACCAGCCAAGUCGCGUGAGGGAAGACGGUCCUACGGAUUGUAAACCUCUUUUGCCGGGGAGCAACGGGGUCCUUGCGAGGGCCCGAUGCACGUACCCGGAUAAAAAGCAUCGGCUAACUCCGUGCCAGCAGCCGCGGUAAUACGGCGUAUGCGAACGGUAGCCGGAUUUAUGUUGUUUAAGGGUUGCGUAGGCGGUCUGGUAAGUCAGCGGUAAAAUGUAGUGACGCACCACCGGCCUGACGGUGAAACUGGCGGCCUCUAGUGGGCGAGAGGUAUGCGGAAUGCGUGGUGGAGCGGUGAAAUGCAGAGAUAUCACGCAGAACUACGAUUGCGAAGGCAGCAUACCGGCGCUCAACUGACGCUCAUGCACGAAAGUGUGGGUAUCGAACAGGAUUAGAUACCCUUGUAGUC